rnacentral:rRNA from 1 species
CCUACGGGAGGCAGCAGUAGGGAAUCUUCCACAAUGGGCGAAAGCCUGAUGGAGCAACGCCGCGUGGGUGAAGAAGGUCUUCGGAUCGUAAAACCCUGUUGUUAGAGAAGAAAGUGCGUGAGAGUAACUGUUCACGUUUCGACGGUACUUAACGAGAAAGCCACGGCUAACUACGUGCCAGCAGCCGCGGUAAUACGUAGGUGGCAAGCGUUAUCCGGAUUUAUUGGGCGUAAAGGGAACGCAGGCGGCCUGUUAAGUCUGAUGUGAAAGCCUUCAGCUUAACCGGAGUAGUGCAUUGGAAACGGGGAGACGUGAGUGCAGAAGAGGAGAGUGGAACUCCAUGUGUAGCGGUGAAAUGCGUAGAUAUAUGGAAGAACACCAGUGGCGAAAGCGGCUCUCUGGUCUGUAACUGACGCUGAGGUUCGAAAGCGUGGGUAGCAAACAGGAUUAGAUACCCUAGUAGUC